UUUCCGGUUGAUCCUGCCGGAGGGGACUCCUAUCGGGCUCGGACUAAGCCAUGCGAGUCAGCUGGGGGCCCUUGCUCCCGGCGGCGCACGGCUCAGUAAUACACGGUCAACCUACCCUGAGGACCGGGAUAACCUCGGGAAACUGAGGCUAAUCCCGGAUAGGGAUGAUCUCCUGGAAUGGGUUCAUCCCUAAAGUAGGCGGGGGAAUGGCCCCGCCGAGGCCUCAGGAUGGGACCGUGUCCCAUCAGGUAGUAGGUGGGGUAACGGCCCACCUAGCCUAAGACGGGUGCGGGCUCUGGGAGGAGGAGCCCGGAGAUGGGCACUGAGACAAGGGCCUAGGCCCUACGGGGUGCAGCAGGCGCGAAACUUCCCCAAUGCGCGCAAGCGUGAGGGAGCGAGCCCGAGUGCCGCCCGCUGAGGGUGGCUGUUCCCGGGUGUAAACAGCCCGGGGUAGGAAGGGGAGGGUAAGGCUGGUGCCAGCCGCCGCGGUAAAACCAGCUCCCCGAGGGGUCCCCACGCAUACUGGGCCUAAAGCGUCCGUAGCCGGCCCUGUAAGUCCCCGGUUAAAUCCACUGGAAGACCAGUGGGCCGCCGGGGAUACUGCAGGGCUAGGGAGCGGGAGGGGCCGAGGGUAUUCCGGGGGAUAGCGGUAAAAUGCGUAGAUCCCCGGAGGACCACCAGUGGCGAAGGCGCUCGGCUGGAACGCGUCCGACGGUGAGGGACGAAAGCUGGGGGAGCAAACCGGAUUAGAUACCCGGGUAGUCCCAGCCGUAAACGAUGCCGGCUAGGUGCCGGCCGAGGUUUCGGCCUCGGCCGGUGUCGAAGCGAAGGCGUUAAGCCGGCCGCCUGAGGAGUACGGCCGCAAGGCUGAAACUUGAAGGAAUUGACGGGGGGGCACCACAAGGGGUGGAGCCU
rnacentral:rRNA from 1 species